UUGAAAGCGGCUUUGCAGCGCUACGGCGGCCUCGGCUGAGCCGGGAGGGAGGGAGGGGAGCCGAGGGAUGUGGGAAGGGGGGUUGGUUUGGGGGCGGCUCUCGAGUCGUGAACAUGGCGGCCGGAUGCGAACCCCCGCAGAGCGCAGCAAAACGCAGACCUACGGGCUGCCGAACUGUUGUGUCGUUUAAAUUCCCUUGUUAUUCCGCAGCUCUGGGCGCUCGCGGGAGAAUGUAGGUCGUGGCGGUCGAACACAGAAUUAUUAGGAGGGGUGGGGGGAAAAAAACGGAAGCGAAGAAGUUCUUCCUGGGCAUUCUCGUGGGAAGUUGGCGUGCCCUUUGGGGGGGUUGGGGUUCCCGCGGGACCUGGGUGUAAAACCCACCGGAGGCCACUUCACCCUCUUGGGCAAACUUAAAACAUUUCCCCUUGGUUAUCAUGGGGAGGGGAUGCCAUUUCGAGUUACCCUGUCCCUGGCGGGAUUUCACAGCACCUUCGAGCCCCCAAAAUGCGAAAGCCCCUAAAAACACUGUUCUCUCCUUGGGACAAUGGCGGAGCCAUGUGGUGAUUGACCCCCCAGCUCCUCUAGGCAAAUAA
rnacentral:lncRNA from 1 species